UGUUAUGGACACACACAUGCACAGCGAUC
rnacentral:piRNA from 1 species